rnacentral:tRNA from 1 species
GGACUGUAGCGCAGCUUGGUAGCGCACCGUCAUGGGGUGUCGGGGGUCGCUGGUUCAAAUCCAAUUCAAGCCCCUA